rnacentral:misc_RNA from 1 species
AGGAAAGCAUCAGGGUAAAUACUUGAAGGAUUAGGACGCAGAGUUAUGAAAAGCCUAUAAUCGUCAUCAGCUUUCCCAACCUUCUUCCCAGCAGUUACUAUGUAGUCAUUAUAUGUGGGAGUCCCGUGACCACCGCUUGAUUCAAUAACAUCGAAACCCAAUGUAGCUGUCUGAUUGUCAAUAAAGAUAUCGAAUCGUCUUUCAUUGACCUUGGUAAUAUCUGGAACAAACUCACAGAAGUGGAGCCUCACCAGAUACCUGAAUCCUUGAUCUACUGGCACCCUCCACGUCAAAUUGGUGUCAUUAAGUCCCAGUUGCCGAGCUGACAGAUAGACUUCAUCUGGCGCUGUGUAGUUUGGUAUUUUAGAAUAAUUGAGAGAGAGAUUUGGCUCGUUGUUAACAAGACCAAGGUUGAGAACGUCAUCCCUCCAUAACCUAUACAUGCCAGUGUCAAGUACUGGCGAGAUGGUGCCACCCGCAACGUUAAAUCUACACAUAUUCUCCAGCG